GACAAGCAUGUUUCCGUGUCCAACGUUUGACCGUCCGUCUUAUUAAAAAAAUUAUAAAAAAAUUAAAAAGGCAAGUCACGUAUAAAAUAUUAAUCAUGUUUUAUCAUCUAACAAUAAUAAAAAUACGAAUUAUAAAAAACUUUCAUAUAAAACGGACAGAUAAAGUUGGACACGGAAACCCAGGUUUUGAUUUUUU
rnacentral:pre_miRNA from 1 species